CCUCUGGAAAGCCCGGUAUCCGUGACAGGGUGCCGGCACCGACGGAGUAAGGCGCGUCAACCCCGCGCUGAAUCUCUCAGGUCAUCGGACAGAGG
rnacentral:ncRNA from 2 species